AGCGAACGCUGGCGGCGUACUUAACACAUGCAAGUCGAACGAGGAGUUUCGGUGUAGCAAUACAUCGGAGCUUCGAGUGGCGCACGGGUGAGUAACACGUGGGCAACCUGCCCUCGAGACCGGGAUACCCCCUCGAAAGGGGGGCUAAUACCGGAUACGUUCCUCGGGUCGCGAGACCUGGGGAGGAAAGGUGGCGCAAGCUGCCGCUCUUGGAGGGGCUCGCGGCCUAUCAGCUAGUUGGUGAGGUCACGGCUCACCAAGGCUAUGACGGGUAGCUGGUCUGAGAGGACGACCAGCCACACGGGGACUGAGACACGGCCCCGACUCCUACGGGAGGCAGCAGUGGGGAAUUUUCCGCAAUGGGCGAAAGCCUGACGGAGUGACGCCGCGUGGGGGACGAAGGCCUUCGGGUCGUAAACCCCUGUCAGAGGGAAAGAAGGGUCGCCAGGUUAAUACCCUGGUGAUCUGACGGUACCUUCAGAGGAAGCCCCGGCCAACUCUGUGC
rnacentral:rRNA from 1 species